rnacentral:rRNA from 1 species
AGGAAUAAUCCCGGGAAACUGGGGCUAAUGCCUCAUAGGAGACGGGUGCUGGAAUGCUCUGUCUCUGAAAGGUCCGCCGUCUGAGGAUGAGUCUGCGUCCGAUUAGGUUGUUGUUGGGGUAACGGCCCACCAAGCCAUUGAUCGGUACGGGUUGUGGGAGCAAGAGCCCGGAGAUGGAUUCUGAGACAUGAAUCCAGGCCCUACGGGGCGCAGCAGGCGCGAAAACUUUACAAUGCGAGCAAUCGUGAUAAGGAAACCCUGAGUGCCUGUCAAUGCAGGCUGUUCUGGUGUUUAGUCCGCACCAGGAGAAAGGGCGGGGCAAGACCGGUGCCAGCCGCCGCGGUAAUACCGGCUGCUCGAGUGAUAGCCACUUUUACUGGGCUUAAAGCGUUCGUAGCUUGGUCGUUAAGUCUCUGGGGAAAUCUUCUGGCUUAACCAGAAGGCGUCUCAGAGAAACUGGCGACCUUGGGACCGGGAGAGGUAAGACGUACUUCGGGGGUAGGAGUGAAAUCUUGUAAUCCCCGAGGGACGACCGAUGGCGAAGGCAUCUUACCAGAACGGCUCCGACAGUGAGGGACGAAAGCUGGGGGAGCAAACCGGAUUAGAUACCCGGGUAGUCCCAGCCGUAAACGAUGUGCGUUAGGUGUGUCAGUGACCACGAGUCACUGAGGUGCCGAAGGGAAACCGUGAAACGCACCGCCUGGGAAGUACGGUCGCAAGGCUGAAACUUAAAGGAAUU